rnacentral:tRNA from 1 species
GCGGGCGUCGCCAAGUGGUAAGGCAAUGGAUUGUGACUCCAUUAUUCGCGGGUUCGAUCCCCGUCGUUCGCC